AGAGUUUGAUCAUGGCUCAGAGUGAACGCUGGCGGCAGGCCUAAUACAUGCAAGUCGAACGGCAGCACAGCAGAGCUUGUUCUGUGGGUGGCGAGUGGCGGACGGGUGAGGAAUACGUGGGAAUCUGCCCAGUCGUGGGGGAUAACGUAGGGAAACUUACGCUAAUACCGCAUGCGCCCUUCGGGGGAAAGCCGGGGACCUUCGGGCCUGGCGCGAUUGGAUGAGCCCACGUCGGAUUAGCUAGUUGGCGGGGUAAAGGCCCACCAAGGCGACGAUCCGUAGCUGGUCUGAGAGGAUGAUCAGCCACACUGGAACUGAGACACGGUCCAGACUCCUACGGGAGGCAGCAGUAGGGAAUAUUGGACAAUGGGCGCAAGCCUGAUCCAGCCAUGCCGCGUGAGUGAAGAAGGCCCUCGGGUUGUAAAGCUCUUUUGUCCGGAAAGAAAAGCGCCGGGUUAAUACCCUGGUGUCCUGACGGUACCGGAAGAAUAAGCACCGGCUAACUUCGUG
rnacentral:rRNA from 1 species